rnacentral:rRNA from 1 species
AGUCGAGCGAGAAAGUUAGUUUACUGAACGAGUAAAGCGGCGAACGGGUGAGUAACGCGUGGAUAUCUACCUUGAAGUUUGGGAUAACAACGGGAAACCGUUGCUAAUACCAAAUGUGGAAGCAAUUCUAAAGGGGGCCUCUUUUAUGCUCUCGCUUCUUGAUGAGUCCGCGUCCUAUCAGCUUGUUGGUGAGGUAAUGGCUCACCAAGGCAAAGACGGGUAGCCGGCCUGAGAGGGUGUACGGCCACAUGGGGACUGAGAUACGGCCCUGACUCCUACGGGAGGCAGCAGUGAGGAAUAUUGCACAAUGGGGGAAACCCUGAUGCAGCGACGCCGCGUGGGGGAUGAAUUCUUUCGAGACGUAAACUCCUUUUAUGUGGGAAGAAACAGCGGAUGGCUAAUACCUUUCCGCUUUGACGGUACCACUUGAAUAAGCCCCGGCUAACUACGUGCCAGCAGCCGCGGUAACACGUAGGGGGCAAGCGUUGCUCGGAUUCACUGGGUCUAAAGGGCUCGCAUGCGGAUAUUUAAGUCUUGGGUUAAAUCUACAGGCUCAACUUGUAGUUGCCUGAGAAACUGGAUGUCUUGAGGAAGAGAUAGGAAACAGGAAUUCCCGGUGUAACGGUGGAAUGUGUAGAUAUCGGGAGGAACACCAACGGCGAAGGCAAGUUUCUGGCUCUUACCUGACGCUCAGGAGCGAAAGCGUGGGAAGCAAACAGGAUUAGAUACCCUGGUAGUCCACGCCCUAAACGAUGGGUGCUAGGUGUAGGGAUAUAAAAUCUCGGUGCCGAAGUGAAGACGUUAAGCACCCCACCUGGGGAAUUCGGGUCGCAAGGCUUGAACCUCAAGGGAAUUGACGGGUCCCCGCCCAAGCGGUGGAG